rnacentral:rRNA from 1 species
GUGGGGAAUAUUGGGCAAUGGGGGAAACCCUGACCCAGCAACGCCGCGUGAAGGAAGAAGGCCCUCGGGUUGUAAACUUCUUUUAAGAGGGACGAAAGAAAUGACGGUACCUCUUGAAUAAGCCACGGCUAACUACGUGCCAGCAGCCGCGGUAAUACGUAGGUGGCGAGCGUUAUCCGGAUUUACUGGGUGUAAAGGGCGUGUAGGCGGGAGUGCAAGUCAGAUGUGAAAAUUAUGGGCUCAACCCAUAACCUGCAUUUGAAACUGUUCUUCUUGAGUGAUGGAGAGGCAGGCGGAAUUCCGUGUGUAGCGGUGAAAUGCGUAGAUAUACGGAGGAACACCAGUGGCGAAGGCGGCCUGCUGGACAUUAACUGACGCUGAGGCGCGAAAGCGUGGGGAGCAAACAGGAUUAGAAACCCGGGUAGUCC